AGUGAACGCUGGCGGUAGGCCUAACACAUGCAAGUCGAACGGCAGCACAGAGGAGCUUGCUCCUUGGGUGGCGAGUGGCGGACGGGUGAGGAAUACAUCGGAAUCUACUCUGUCGUGGGGGAUAACGUAGGGAAACUUACGCUAAUACCGCAUACGACCUACGGGUGAAAGCAGGGGACCUUCGGGCCUUGCGCGAUUGAAUGAGCCGAUGUCGGAUUAGCUAGUUGGCGGGGUAAAGGCCCACCAAGGCGACGAUCCGUAGCUGGUCUGAGAGGAUGAUCAGCCACCCUGAACCGGAGACACGGUCCAGACUCCUACAGGAGGCAGCAUUGGGGAAUAUGUGACCAUGGGCGCAAGCCUGCUCCAGCCAUACCGCGUGGGUGAAGAAGGCCUUCGGGUUGUAAAGCCCUUUUGUUGGGAAAGAAAUCCAGCUGGCUAAUACCCGGUUGGGAUGACGGUACCCAAAGAAUAAGCACCGGCUAACUUCGUGCCAGCAGCCGCCGCCG
rnacentral:rRNA from 1 species